UUCCAGUGCUUUUUAUUGAAUAUGGAAAUGAUCUUAUUGAUAGACUGGUUAUACACUUAUUUACCUGAGCAUAAUAAUAGCAUAAGGAAAUACUAUAUUGUGCAAUUAAAUAUGAGUAAAUAUUGUAUCAAUCAAGGGGACUGAAGGAAUAUUCUAAAAUGCCCCCCAAGAUGGAGCACCAUUGGUGAGUCCAAUCUUGAUAGACAUGUUUAGGGGUGGGCGUUCGGAUACCCAUUCGGGUU
rnacentral:lncRNA from 1 species